rnacentral:sRNA from 1 species
UUUCUCUUUUGUCUUUU